rnacentral:misc_RNA from 1 species
AACGCACGAGACCUGCGGACCUGCGGAGGGAUCAUCAACAGUUCUAAAAUAACAGUACGUAGACUACCUCUGCUACUGGACCCUUUUGUGCAUUGUUAUUUGUGUCUGGUGGACUGGGAGUUGAUCGUUGUCGUGUGGGGAGCUGCUGUGCUACUCUGUAGUACCGUGGUAGUCACUCGGCACGCCUCCCAGCCUGCCGUUAUUAUCAACACUUGACAAACACUGCUAAACAUCAUUGUU